UUCUUCAAAUUUGGUUGCAAUGUCCUUAUUUGCUUUCUUGCUAUGCCUAUUUAUGCAUGGUUUCUGUUUUUCUUUUUUUAGAAGAACACAAUAUAUGAUUGGCCAUGGUUUCUGUUUACAGCUAAAGAUCAACAAAAUAAGGCUACAAACAGUUGGUCAAUGAACGGAAGAAAUAAAGUUGGAGCAGAUAGACCAUUAAGAUUGUCAGACAUUAAGGAAAAUAUCAAUUGUCUGCUCGACACAUAGAGACAGUAAUUUCUUCUUCUGCACUAGUUCUUUUUGUUCAAAAUAUUUGGUUAAAAGUUUCUUAACUUUGACAUGUAAUUUACCCUACUAUCCUUUUAUCCUAGCUACCAUCUUCCUCUUGCUUU